AGGAAGGAAAGAAGACUCAGUUGGGGCAACACAUAGUUUAACAAUUUUCCUAAAGGCACUACAUUUUUAGUUUAACCACUGAAAAAUAUUCUCAAAAAUGAAAAUAAUGCCCAGUUUUUCAAAAACAUUUUUAAAACUUCUAGGUUCAGAUGUCAGAUUAUGCCAUAAUUUGUUGAGAAGUGAAAAUCACUCAUCUUUUACAGAGGUAAGGAUAACUUGGUAGGUUAUUUCCUUUGGAGACACUGGAAUCUAAAUUUUCCGAAUACUAGAAAUUGUGUCUUCUGUAGUCACAAAUGUGUUAAGACUCCUGAGUAAGACUAAUUUGUUUAAUAUCAAAGCCAAAAAAUCUGCUGACAAAUGGCUUAAUCCAGAAAAUAACUUCACAGCAUCUAGCAUCUCUGCACACAUGUCACAGUACAAACAUCCGUUCAAGCUAAUUCCUGUAAUAGCCUACAGUUUAAGUUUCUUUUCAGACACUCAGCUUUUAUUCAUUAAACAUUAAAAAAAUUCAUUUUCUUUUGUAUGAAUGCAAUUGUGAUAAAAACUCAAAAGGCAUACAAAGUACAAAAAGUAAGUCUUUCCUAUGCAUAUAUAUUCUAGGUAUAUAGUUUCCCUUGCUGGAGGAAACCACUGUGAUCAGCUUCUCAUAAGCACUUGACUUAAAAUGAACUGAAACUAGCCAUACAUCAACUAGCAGAUUUGAUUUGGAACAUAUGCCUACCUUGUACUUCUCAUAGAUAAUUGGGACGCUGAAAACAAGCAGCUCAGCUGUAAGAAUCAUGGACAAGGCAAGUAUGAAUAUAUCAUCUACACAUUUUACUUCAGAAUGAUAAAGGAGGCUUUGAAAAUAUGUCAAGUAAACAAAAAGAAGAACAAAGAUAAUGAAUUCGAUAGGGGUGAGAACUACAGAAUACAGGAAGAUUUGAGUUCUGAUCCCAGAGGCACUAUAGAAUGAGAUAUAACCACGGCUAAUUUACUCAGUAUUUACAGAGUGCCCACAGUACACGAGUCAUCCUGCAAGAAGAGAUGCGGACAGGGAAGUAGGGGAGAUUGAACCCAGGGGCAUCCUGUCACUGAGUCUCAAAUUUACAUUCUGCCUGCCUCAGCCUCCCGAGAAGCUGGUAUUAUACAUAUGCUCCACCUUGCCCAGAUUGCAUGAAUGUUCAAAUUCAAUGAGGAAUCCAAGGCAGAGAGGUUAAGUGUCUUGCCCCAAAUGGAGAAAGAAGGAAAUAGAAAAUGGAAACACUGCCAGUUCAGAACCAGAGUCUAUGUUCUGCUGUACGGUCUAAAGCAGGGGAUAAAAUGGGUCACUGAGUAGGCAUUUGCAGCCAAGUGGAAGCCAUAAAACUUUAAAGAGAGAGCUGGAAUAAUACUUAAAAAUAAACAUCUAAUACAUAGU